rnacentral:tRNA from 1 species
GGGCCGUUAGCUCAGUGGAUAGAGCAAUCGCCUUCUAAGCGAUUGGUCGGGGGUUCGAAUCCUCCACGGCCCG